rnacentral:tRNA from 1 species
GAGGGUAUAGUUCAGUGGUAGGGUGAAUGCUUAGCAUGCAUGAGGUUCUGGGUUCAAUCCUCAGUAUCUCUC